rnacentral:rRNA from 1 species
AGUGAACGCUGGCGGCAGGCCUAAUACAUGCAAGUCGAACGGCAGCACAGCAGAGCUUGCUCUGUGGGUGGCGAGUGGCGGACGGGUGAGGAAUACAUGGGAAUCUGCCCAGUCGUGGGGGAUAACGUAUGGAAACGUACGCUAAUACCGCAUGCGCCCUACGGGGGAAAGUCGGGGACCGCAAGGCCUGACGCGAUUGGAUGAGCCCAUGUUCGAUUAGCUAGUUGGCGGGGUAAAGGCCCACCAAGGCGACGAUCGAUAGCUGGUCUGAGAGGAUGAUCAGCCACACUGGAACUGAGACACGGUUCCAGACUCCUACGGGGAGGCAGCAGUAGGGAAUAUUGGACCAAUGGGGGCAACCCUGAUCCAGCCAUGCCGCGUGAGUGAAGAAGGCCCUCGGGUUGUAAAGCUCUUUUGUCUGGAAAGAAAGCAAUCGGUUAAUACCCGGUUGUUCUGACGGUACCGGAAGAAUAAGCACCGGCUAACUUCGUGCC